UACGUAGGGGGCAAGCGUUGUCCGGAAUCAUUGGGCGUAAAGAGCGUGUAGGCGGCCAGAUAAGUCCGCUGUGAAAACUCGAGGCUCAACCUCGAGACGCCGGUUGAAACCAUCAGGCUAGAGUCCGGAAGAGGAGAGUGGAAUUCCCGGUGUAGCGGUGAAAUGCGCAGAUAUCGGGAAGAACACCCGUGGCUAAGGCGGCUCUCUAGUACGGUACUGACGCUGAGACGCGAAAGCGUGGGGAGCGAACAGG
rnacentral:rRNA from 1 species